rnacentral:rRNA from 1 species
GUGAACGAGGUGUGGGCAGUGUAGAAGCCGUCUGUGCCGGAGCAAACGCGAUAAGUUCACCGCCUGGGGAGUACGGUCGCAAGGCUAAAACCCAAAGGAAUUGACGGGGGCCCGCACAAGCAGCGGAGCGUGUGGUUUAAUUCGAUGCAACGCGAAGAACCUUACCUGGGCUUGACAUGUACGUAGUAGUGAAGGGAAACCGGAACGAGCCUUCGGGCAGCGUAGACAGGUGCUGCAUGGCUGUCGUCAGCUCGUGUCGUGAGAUGUUGGGUUAAGUCCCGCAACGAGCGCAACCCGUGUUGCUAGUUACAAGUGUCUAGCGAGACUGCCGGUAACAAGCCGGAGGAAGGUGCGGAUGAUGUCAAGUCAGCAUGGCCUAUAUGUCCAGGGCUACACACACGCUACAAUGGCUGGUACAAAGAGAAGCGAAAGGGAGACCUGAAGCGAAUCUCAUCAAAGCCAGUCAUAGUUCGGAUUGCAGGCUGCAACUCGCCUGCAUGAAGUCGGAGUUGCUAGUAACCGCAGGUCAGCAAUACUGCGGUGAAUACGUUCCCGGGCCUUGUACACAC